UUUUACUCUUACGGGAGGCAGCAGUGGGGAAUAUUGCACAAUGGGCGCAAGCCUGAUGCAGCGACGCCGCGUGAGGGAUGACGGCCUUCGGGUUGUAAACCUCUUUCAGUAGGGAAGAAGCGAAAGUGACGGUACCUGCAGAAGAAGCGCCGGCUAACUACGUGCCAGCAGCCGCGGUAAUACGUAGGGCGCAAGCGUUAUCCGGAAUUAUUGGGCGUAAAGAGCUCGUAGGCGGUUUGUCGCGUCUGCCGUGAAAGUCCGGGGCUCAACUCCGGAUCUGCGGUGGGUACGGGCAGACUAGAGUGAUGUAGGGGAGACUGGAAUUCCUGGUGUAGCGGUGAAAUGCGCAGAUAUCAGGAGGAACACCGAUGGCGAAGGCAGGUCUCUGGGCAUUAACUGACGCUGAGGAGCGAAAGCAUGGGGAGCGAACAGGAUUAGAUACCCUGGUAGUCCAUGCCGUAAACGUUGGGCACUAGGUGUGGGGGACAUUCCACGUUUUCCGCGCCGUAGCUAACGCAUUAAGUGCCCCGCCUGGGGAGUACGGCCGCAAGGCUAAAACUCAAAGGAAUUGACGGGGGCCCGCACAAGCGGCGGAGCAUGCGGAUUAAUUCGAUGCAACGCGAAGAACCUUACCAAGGCUUGACAUGAACCGGUAAUACCUGGAGAGC
rnacentral:rRNA from 1 species